CGUAACACGUGAGCGACCUUCCGUCUUCUGGGGGAUAGCCGGCCCAACGGCCGGGUAAUACCGCAUACGCUCAGCGAGGGGCAUCCCUGGCUGAGGAAACUUCCGGGGGAGGACGAGGGGCUCGCGGCCUAUCAGCUAGUUGGUGCGGUCACGGCGCACCAAGGCGACGACGGGUAGCUGGUCUGAGAGGAUGGCCAGCCACAUUGGGACUGAGAGACGGCCCAG
rnacentral:rRNA from 1 species